AAUGAACCAAAGCGUCCGUUGCUAUGCUGGUUCCUUGGCUCUAUUUUACCUCGUAUUGGUCGCAAAGGAAGGAGGAUGCAGGCAGUUCUAGUUCUAUUUCACAACAAAAUCGCUCGCUCAGUCCGCGCAAAAUUAUUACCUCAGAAUUUCUCUCCAAGGACGGUGUUUUUAACGAUGACAACCUGCUGACUACCUGCUGCUUCAGAGGACCGAAAAGACUGGAAAGAGAACACUUUCUUUACCGUAUAUUUGUCAUUAUACAAGUACAAAUAGGAAUAAAUCAUUUAAGAUGUUUUUAGAUUGACGUUACUGUAUUUAUAUACCUCAGCCUGCCUAGUCAGCUAGCCAGCUACAGUAACCAGCUGGCUAGCCUGACAGUUUUAUUUAGCUAACGUUAGCUAGCUAGCAAGCAAGCUACUGUAACUGUUAAUUGCAGCUUUCUGUUUGUAUGUAACGUUAGCUUGCACUUUAAUGGCAUCCCUCGAGGAGAUUUUCUUUUAUCUUUCUAACCAGGAGAAGUACUAUGAUGACACCACUGAUCUCGACAAGAGGCGCAACAUUCAGAGAAAUUCACAAUUCAGAGUAACUUUAAACAGUUAACUUCUAUUAGAUAACUGGACGGAUUUAGCUAUGUACAACCAUUUUUCAACAACCAUUUUCAAUCUAACGUUCGCUAAUUACUAACUAUACAUUUAGUUCAGUGGAGCAGAGGCUGCUGAGGAGAGGAUGGCUCAUAAUAUGGAUUAAAUGGAAUGGUAUCAAACGCGUGGUCUCCAUGUGGUUGAUGCCAUACAAUUGACUCCAUUCCAGACAUUAUUAUGAGCUGCCCUCCACUCAGCAGCCUCCACUGAUAUAGUUAUAUGUCUGUCAUAUUGCGGUAUCUAGCUAUAAAUUAAACCUGAUCAAUCAAAUGGAUGGGUGUAAGCAAUUAUGGUAAUUACAACUGUCCUUAACUAGGUGUCUUUGCUAGACAGACACAGGGAGGAUGAAAGUGAGAGACAGACAGACAGACACAGAGCAAACAACAGCAGUGCAAAUGUACUUAGACUUGAGUAUUUCAACAACUCUUCUUCCAACAAAAAUCACAUCUACCUACGGGGAAAGGAUGGCCAGUCACACAAGAGGGUGAUUUUUACUAAGGAGGAGAAGGAGGCCAUGCUGACUGAGAUGCAUGCUGGCCAUUUCAGAGGGAAGCGCAUGAUUGCCAAAAUCAACCUAUGCUUCUUCUGACGAGGAAUUGUCAAGGAUGAGUACAGCUGGGAAAGUGAAAUAACCUUCUGUUUAUUAAUCACAUUCUAUUAUAUAUGAAAUAUUAUGAUUUCAAUGAAUGUCAUAUUAGAGAGCACACAAUGUUUCAAUUGGUCACUUUUUGCAUAAAGUUCAGUACCCUGUCUAGCCUGCCAGAAGUUUGAGAGGGUGAAGACUGUGGCGCCGGAGUUGAAGCUAAUCAAAGUUGUUUCACCAUGGCACAUGAUCUGAUGAGACUAACAAGGCCGCCUUCAAGACGAUGGUGGACAUCUUCAACACCUGCCCCCCAGGAGGUAUCCCAUCCACCAGAACCAGUGAGUUCAGGUCAGUCGGUGGGGGACCAGCUUGAGGAACUAGGGGUUCUGCCCAACACCCAGACGUGGAUCCAACUGAUGUCAUCCAUUACCAACCACCCUCCAACUUUUCAUUACUUAAUCUACAUCUACUGUUGUUGUCAUUAUCUGCUAAGAAAGUUUUCUUGCUCUCAUACCAGGCACAUAAUAUGUGAGAUUACUAAAAACACUGCACUGCAAACACUCAAAACAAAGAGAGCAGCAGUGCCUGGACUUUGCAGUCUCUCUCUUUAAGCCCCCCUUCUGAGACUGGCUAUCAAAGUUCAUGUAUUACAAUCUUAAAUAUUGCCAGGUUGGUUUUCACAGCUGUUUCACAAGGUGUUCAUUAUUGUAAGUUAUCUUUUGUUUGUAUUUAUUUGCUCCACAUUAUUCAUUGUUGUAUCCAAGGACCUACAAUAGAUACAUAUAUAUUCAACCACAAGUGUGUACUGAUGAGCUAUGCGAGAUAGGAAAAAAAAAUUCAUAAAAGGACUACUGAAAUUAGAUUACAAUAGAUACAUAUAUAAGACAAGGUGACCGGAAACAUGACCGAAUACAAACAGUGCUAUAUAGCUAUUCCCUCCGCAAGGCAAUUAAACAAGCUAAGCGUCAGCAUAGAGACAAAGUAGAGUCGCAAUUCAACGGCUUAGACACGAGAGGUAUGCGGCAUGGUCUAUAGUCAAUCAUGGACUACAAAAAGAAAACCAACCCCGUCGCGGACCACGAUGUCUUGCUCCCAGACAAACGAAACAACUUCUUUCCUCGCUUUGAGGACAAUACAGUGCCACCUACAUGGCCCGCUACCAAAACCUGCGGGCUCUCCUUCACUGCAGCCAACAUGAGUAAAACAUUUAAACGUGUUAACCCUCGCAAGGCUGCCAUCCCAUACGACAUCACUAGCUGCGUCCUCAGAGCAUGCUCAGACCAGCUGGCUGGUGUGUUUACGGACAUAUUCAGUCAAUCCUUAUCCCAGUCUGCUGUUCCCACAUGCUUCAAGAGGGCCACCAUUGUUCCUGUUCCCAAGAAAGCUAAGGUAACUGAGCUAAAUGAGUAUCGCCCCGUAGUACUCACUUAUGUCAUCAUGAAGUGCUUUGAGAGACUAGUCAAGGACCAUAUCACCUAGACCCUACCUGACACCGCGGAAACCCACUCCAAUUUGCUUACCGCCCCAAUAGGUCCACAGACGAAGCAAUAGCAGUCACACUGCACACUGCCCUAACCCAUCCGGACAAGAGGAAUACCUAUGUAAGAAUGCUGUUCAUCGACUACAGCUCAGCAUUUAACACCAUAGUACCCUCCAAACUCGUCAUCAAGCUCGAGACCCUGGGUCUCGACCCCGCCCUGUGCAACUGGGUCCUGGACUUCCUGACGGGCUGCCCCCAGGUGGUAAGGGUAGGAAACAACAUCUCCACCCCGCUGAUCCUCAACAGUGGGGCCCCACAAGGGUGCGUUCUCAGCCCUCUCCUGUACUCCCUGUUCACCCAUGACUGCAUGGCCAUGCACGCCUCCAACUUAAUCAUCAAGUUUGCCGACAACACUACAAUGGUAGGCUUGAUUACCAACAACGACGAGGCGGCCUACAGGGAGGAGGUGAGGGCCCUCGGAGUGUGGUGUCAGGAAAAUAACUUCACACUCAAUGUCAACAAAACAAAGGAGAUGAUCGUGGACUUCAGGAAACAGCAGAGGGAGCAGCCCCCUAUCCACAUCGACGGGACAGUAGUGGAGAAGGUGGAAAGUUUUAACUUCCUCGGCGUACACAUCGCGGACAAACUGAAUUGGUUCACCCACACAGACAGCGUGAUGAAUAAGGAACAGCAGCGCCUCUUCAACCUCAGGAGGCUGAUGAAAUUUGAGUGUUUUUGGCUUGUCACCAAAACCACUCAUCAAAUACAACAACCACCCGAGCCACUGCCUGUUCACCCCGCUAUCAUCCAGAAGACGAGGUCAGUACAGGUGCAUCAAAGCUGGGACCGAGAGACUGAAAAACAGCUUCUGUCUCAAGGCCAUUAGACUGUUAAACAACCAUCACUAACAUUGAGUGGCUGACUGUUGCCAACAUACUGACUCAAAUCUCUAGCCACUUUAAUAAUAAAAAAUGGGAUAUAAUAAAUGUAUCACUAGCCACUUUAAACAAUGCUACUUUAUAUAAUGUUUACAUACCCUACAUUACUCAUCUCAUAUGUACAUACUUUACUCUACCAUCUACUGCAUCUUGCCUAUGCCGUUCGGCCAUCGCUCAUCCAUAUAUUUUUAUGUACAUAUUCUUAUUCAUUCCUUUACACUUGUGUGUAUAAGGUAAUUGUUGUGAAAUUGUUAGACUACUUGUUACAUAUUACUGUGUGGUUGGAACUAGAAGCACAUGCAUUUCACUACACUCGCAUUAACAUCUGCUAACCAUGUGUAUGUGACAAAUAAAAUUUGAUUUGAGAUUAUUUCAGUGUAGAUAAGGGAAGGGCAGGUUAAACUAAAAACAUGACAGCCAGACAAGCCAGUGUAUGAAUCAAAUGGAUUUGCAUAUGAAUGAGUUAGAAAUUAGCUGACUUCUUGAUCUGUAAAGUAAGUAACUUUAAUGUGUCGAGCAGAUUACACGUUUUCAGUGCCAUUUCCCGAAACGUUUAAGACAUGGAUUUCAUGUAAUGUUAACAAGGUACCCAAAAGUAGUUCCAAUGUUUUCAUUUUACUAGCUAAACAAAACUUGUUUAAACAGCGGAAAUCAGCCUUGUUUGCAUAGCGAUG
ensembl:lncRNA